UGCUGCUGGACGCUUGAGAGGUCGGGCUACACCUGCCUAAGAUAGAUACUUGCCAGUUAUUUUGGAGCUUGAGUUAAAGAAC
rnacentral:ribozyme from 1 species